GGGGCCUUAGCUCAGCUGGGAGAGCGCCUGCUUUGCACGCAGGAGGUCAGGAGUUCGAUCCUCCUAGGCUCCA
rfam:Catenibacterium sp. CAG:290 genomic scaffold, scf209